AGAGUUUGAUCAUGGCUCAGGAUGAACGCUGGCGGCGUGCUUAACACAUGCAAGUCGAACGGAGUGCUCAUGACGGAGGAUUCGUCCAACGGAUUGAGUUACUUAGUGGCGGACGGGUGAGUAACGCGUGAGGAACCUGCCUCGGAGUGGGGAAUAACAGCCCAAAAGGGUUGCUAAUACCGCAUGAUGCAGUUGGGCCGCAUGGCUCUGACUGCCAAAGAUUUAUCGCUCUGAGAUGGCCUCGCGUCUGAUUAGCUGGUUGGCGGGGUAACGGCCCACCAAGGCGACGAUCAGUAGCCGG
rnacentral:rRNA from 1 species